UCUUGGCUCUUGUAUCGAUGACGAACGCAGCAAAUCGCGAAAAAUAGUGUGGUUGGCGACUUGUAAAAAAAAGAAGUCAUUGAUUUUUU
rnacentral:rRNA from 1 species